UGGCGGCGUGCUUAACACAUGCAAGUCGAGCGAGAAGACUUUGACAGAUCCUUCGGGUGAUGGAAAAGUUGGAAAGCGGCGGACGGGUGAGUAACGCGUGGGCAACCUGCCCCAUACAGGAGGAUAGCCACUGGAAACGGUGAUUAAUACUCCAUAAGACCACAGCGCCACAUGGUGCAGAGGUAAAAACUCCGGUGGUAUGGGAUGGGCCCGCGUCUGAUUAGCUAGUUGGUAAGGUAACGGCUUACCAAGGCGACGAUCAGUAGCCGACCUGAGAGGGUGAUCGGCCACACUGGAACUGAGACACGGUCCAGACUCCUACGGGAGGCAGCAGUGGGGAAUAUUGCACAAUGGGCGAAAGCCUGAUGCAGCAACGCCGCGUGAACGAUGAAGGCCUUCGGGUUGUAAAGUUCUUUUCUUGGAGAAGAAUAAAUGACGGUAUCCAAGGAAUAAGCCCCGGCUAACUACGUGCCAGCAGCCGCGGUAAUACGUAGGGGGCAAGCGUUAUCCGGAAUCACUGGGCGUAAAGGGAGUGUAGGCGGUCAAGCAAGUCAGAGGUGAAAGGCAUCGGCUCAACCGGUGUAAGCCUUUGAAACUGUUUGACUUGAGUGCAGGAGANGUAAGUGGAAUUCCUAGUGUAGCGGUGAAAUGCGUAGAUUUUAGGAGGAAC
rnacentral:rRNA from 1 species